UACGUAGGGGGCUAGCGUUGUCCGGAAUCAUUGGGCGUAAAGCGCGCGUAGGCGGCCCGGUAAGUCCGCUGUAAAAGUCCAGGGCUCAACCCUGGAAGUGCAUUGGAUACUGGCGGACUUGAGUGUGGUAGAGGCAAUCGGAAUUCCAGGUGUAGCGGUGAAAUGCGUAGAUAUCUGGAAGAACGCCGGUGGCGCAAGCGGAUUGCUGGGCCAUAACUGACACUGAGGAACGAAAGCUAGGGGAGCGAAUGGG
rnacentral:rRNA from 1 species